rnacentral:rRNA from 1 species
GACGAAGGGGGCUAGCGUUGUUCGGAAUUACUGGGCGUAAAGCGAGUGUAGGCGGUUGCCCAAGUCAGGUGUGAAAGCCUUGAGCUCAACUCAAGAAAUGCACUUGGUACUGGGUGGCUAGAGGACCGGAGAGGAUAGUGGAAUUCCCAGUGUAGUGGUGAAAUACGUAGAGAUUGGGAAGAACACCUAUGGCGAAGGCAGCUCUCUGGGACGGUACUGACGCUGAGACGCGAAAGCGUGGGGAGCGAACAGG